ACCCUUCUCUCCUUUGCAAACCAGUACCAUCAAUGACAAAACCUGUACAGUGGACAGCAAGACUCAAGUGUUUACACUCGUACUAGCAUCGAUGGGAUGAUUCUUUUUCUACGCAUUUCAGGAUUUGUUUUUUACUUUUAGGUUUUGCAGAUGAGAACAUUCUUUAUGACAGAAAUCCUAUGCAGCACAUGUAUGGCUUUUGAAGAGACCAAGGAGCUCAAUAUCCAUCCGUGAUGUAAAUUAAAUGCUAAUCAUGAUUCAGUAUUCAAUUGCAAAAAUAAAAUUUAUAUACAAAGAGCCAUGGCGGGAGGGACAGAAUGAGAAUCAGAUUCUCAAGUGUGUGCAUCUCCUAUUGAAAUACACCCACAAAGCCACGGUAGAGGAAAAGGGACUGUUUCCAGGUCUGUUUCUAGGUGCAGGAUGAGCACGGGUCAGCAGGUGUGAUUCCGGAAACCACAUGCCACACCUUUCUAGUGCCAAACUUUGUUCAAUCACAGAACUGAUACGGUAUUCCCCCAGACUGAGAAUAAGUGGUGUCCCAAAACAGACAAGGAAAGAAUAAUCAGGUUCUUUGCUGUAUACAGACUUACCCUCUUCCCAUCCAAGGUCAAAGCGAUGUGUCUACUAGAGACUUUGGGACACCUUUUAGCAAGUGAGUGCAUACAGAUGCAAAGUGUAUGCUAUCAAAAAUAAAAACUGCCUGGACUGCUUGAGGGCUUACCACUCCAUCAGCUAAGAUUUGUAUGUGAAUCAUCUGUAAAGUUGUGCUCUUACAAGCUUCUGAGUUUUAAAUACCUCCAUACAGCAAGUAAACAUUCCCGCUUUCUGUUCUCGGUGUCAUUGGUCAUGGUGCUUUUUGUUGCAUUAAAAGUGCCGGUCAAACUUUGAUAGUAUUUUUUUAUAGUUGGUGCAGAGUGGAAUAACUCAUGGAUUAUUUCAAUAUUUUUGUAAUAAAAAUAUAGGGUGUACAUAUAGGCAUCGUCGCUUUUUUUAUAGACUUGGAAUUAUUUAAAAUACAUUAAUGUCAUAUUCACUUGGGAUGUCAGAAUCCGGUCUACAAAUCCAUCAGCCUGCCUCAGCAGAUGGAAAACACUUGUCUCUGGCAAGAUCACCUUGCUUUUAGCAAUUUGAUGGCUCUGAGAAUCUGAGCAGGGGUGCUAUCAGAGUUUCAAGUGGAAAGGGAAGUGGCCUAAGUAGAAAGGGCUUGUGAAGACUGGCCAAUGUCUCCCAGGAAAUCAAAGAUGUGAUUUCUUUCACCCAUCCAUUAGAACAACCUGACCACAGUGGAAGAUGUCUUAAACUUCCUUGCCUGGUUUUAUACUAACCCAGCUGAUAUAUUAAAAAUUAGUCAAAUCACAAAAAAAAGGACAGAAGACAGUCAGUUUAAUUUAAGUAUUCACUUAAAAUAGUUAAGAUCCAGAGCCACCACCUGAAAUGGAUGUACCAUCCAAAGACUGUGAUUCCCAAAGUAGCAUCCACAGGGAGAGAGAGGGCUCAACCUGGGACUUCUUUUGGUACAAAGCCCCAAAGUGAUUUUGUAAGACAAAUAAUUUUUAUCAGACAUAUUUCAUAAUUCUCAAUGAUGUGUCCCUUCAAGUGAGAUUUCCACUACAACACUCUAAUCUUUUGUUCAAAUGAAAAAAUAUUACAUUGACACAAUAAAGUUCCAGGAAGACACUUGGCUUCUAGCAAAUGGUGAACACAUCCCAUUCCAGUGUUGAAGAAAAUCAUAAUAAUUUGGGCAGAUACUUCGCUGAUGUGCAGAACCAUGAAUCAUUAACUUCAUUAGUUCCAAGACAACUUUUAACUGAUGAACUCUGAAGACUGACCUUCCCAGGUGGACCUCAGCUUUGACUCUGUGAGCGGAUAACAGUUCCAAUGUAAUAGUGUCCAGCCAAACAACCCAACAGGAUCCACCACUCUUCUAUCAUAAACAUCAUGGAACUUAUCGAGUUUUACUGGAGAUGAAUUGCAGUUAAUUAAUCCAAUAGACGAUUCAAUCUUGCAAAUUCUUGACUUGUAAUAUUGUAAUCAAGCUACUGGAAGAGACGACUCAGUUAAUGGGAAAGGAGAAGUUGGUUCAGCACAAUGCCCUGAUGUGUCCAGGCCUGAAGAGACAGACCUCUGAGAAGCAGAGCUAACGAAAUUUUGUUACCUGGUCCCUCAACAUGAAUGUCAUUAGUGUCCAUGAUAUCCAUCUGCUAUCUUUUUAUUUCCAGUAAGAACUGCUUUAAAAAAAAUCGGCCAAUGAAUUCCUGGGAGCUUUUAUAGCUCAGAGAAAUGGGUAUGGGUAAAGGGACCUACCUGCUUCAAGUGGAUUGAAGCCUACUUGUUUAGAAAUGAAAAAAUGUCUCUGUGAUCUGUGAUUAAUCGAUCUGUCUUGAGUACCUUUGCCACUUUCAAUUUGUUCCAUUUUCAGCAUUAUAAUAACCAAUGUGUGAAGCUUUCAUUUAUUACAAUUCAGCUUCAAAGGUUAAAUCUGCACAGGUGUAGUUAUGGAGAGAUUUGAUGCCUGCCUUGCUAUGUGAUAACAUUGCCAGCCCCAAACCAAUAUCCAUUUCCACAAGGAACCACUAGCCUAUAGCUUCUCAGAUCACAUGAAAUCUUGGUUAAAGAUGACCGACCAAAUGGCCUUAAUGCCUACAUUUUCAUUCAUAAGAAAACAGGACUGCUGAGAGUGUCUAAUCAUGAUCCCUUCCAUUUCUCUCUUUCAAAUAAAGGUGAAAAUGAAGGUGUCAGAAGUUCAGAUAUAGUUUCAGAGUAUGCAAGAGUCUAAUGUGUUUGUGGUCUUGUUGAAUUUUCUAUCCAAUCAUGUGACAUGGGUUUUAGAGGUUAGAUUUAGAUAAAAGAGUGAAAGUCACUAAGUGUAUCCAUUAUGCACUGGAAGGAAAAAAACCAAGAUGGAGCAGGGACCAUUGCGUUCCCUAUAUAAGCAUCUUGGUUGCUCUAUCAAAGAUUUCUCUCAGGCUUCUGAGAGGCAUUCCUGGUCAUCAGCUCUCAUGUCCAAGCAAGUCAUUCCUUAGAACUGUGUCUGUGUAUAACCACUAAAAUAGAAUGAUAGAAAGGCAACCUCCUACCAUGUAACUUAUUCUAACAUGCCAGGCAACCAGAACAAGCAAGUUUAAGGAACUGUUCACGUCCUGAAUCUACAGCCUCCUGUGUAAUGUAUAAGUUGGUUAACUGUAGGGACAUAGGGGCAAUAACAGUCCUCUCUAUCAAGGCUCAGAAAAAAGACCGUAGGAGUAUUGAGCACCAAGACAGAAGAUCUGUACCAAUGUAUAGACCCAAGAAAACCUGUCCAUCACUUGUCAGGACAUUUGCCUAUUUUACAAACUAGACACAUAAACUAAUCUCUGUUGUUCCAUAAUUCUGGCAACUCACAUGUCUUCUUAUGAAAGGACAAGGCCAAGCUAACAUGGAAAGAUGGAGGUGACAUAGGAAACUUCAUAUCAAAACUGGCUCUGUCUAAGAAAACCUUCCUUCCAAUAGUUCUUUUCGAUUAGUGGCCUGUGUAAUGAUCUGUAUAUCAAUAGCUUCUGAUGGAUUAUAAGUCACUCUUGCUUAUGCUUAAAUGCAGACUACUUAAUUAUCUCUCUUUUACUUACAAUAAGAUUCAGGGUUACCAUG